GCGGCAGUGUGCUUCUUCGCAAGGAACGAAGCGCUUCCCCCGCCGGCUUCUCGGUACAGCGGAUGGUCAUUUUACGCAUCGGCAGCGGACCCCACGGCCAAGCUCGUGGCGCAGCGCACGCGCAUCGGCGUCCCGCAAUGUGAGGCCAAACACGUUGCGCGCCUAUUUUUCGUCGCCGCACCUAGGCAUAUUGCGCAUCGUCACCGAAUGCCGCCACCCAGCACAUCGCGUGCCGACUUCCCGGACUAUGCGGCCGAGCACUUAGAGGUGAAAUAAAGCACUGUUGCGCGCUUGGGGCCGUGCUUGGUAUCGCCGUAAGCGCUCAUGAAUCGUCUGAAAAAAUAAAAGCCUCGCAGAAAACCGUG
rnacentral:lncRNA from 1 species